rnacentral:rRNA from 1 species
UUAGAACGUCGUGAGACAGUUCGGUCCCUAUCUGCCGUGGGCGCUGGAGAACUGAGGGGGGCUGCUCCUAGUACGAGAGGACCGGAGUGGACGCAUCACUGGUGUUCGGGUUGUCAUGCCAAUGGCACUGCCCGGUAGCUAAAUGCGGAAGAGAUAAGUGCUGAAAGCAUCUAAGCACGAAACUUGCCCCGAGAUGAGUUCUCCCUGAC